rnacentral:rRNA from 1 species
GAUGAACGCUGACAGAAUGCUUAACACAUGCAAGUCUUUGGCGAAGCUGUGCUUGCACAUCCUAGCCAAGGCGGACGGGUGAGUAACGCGUAAUGAACUUGCCCUGCCGUCAGGGAUAACAGACGGAAACGACUGAUAAGCCCUGGUAAAGUCAUGCGGACUCAUGUCCAGCCUGAUGAAAAGAGCUGCUGCAGGAGAGCCUUGCGUCCUAUUAGCUUGUUGGUGGGGUAACGGCCCACCAAGGCUAUGAUAGGUAGCCGGCCUGAGAGGGUGGACGGACAGAAGGGGACAGAGAUACGGGACUGACACGGAAGGGAGGAAGCAGUGGGGAAGAAUGGACAAUGGGGGCAAGACGGAGCCAGGAAGUCUGUGUGAACGAUGAAGGUUUUCGGAUAGUAAAGUGCUUUCAGCAGGGAAGAAAAAAAGGACGGUACCUGCAGAAGAAGCGACGGCUAAAUACGU